AACGAACGCUGGCGGCAUGCCUAACACAUGCAAGUCGAACGAGACCUUCGGGUCUAGUGGCGCACGGGUGCGUAACGCGUGGGAAUCUGCCCUUGGGUUCGGGAUAACAGUUGGAAACGACUGCUAAUACCGGAUGAUGACUUCGGCCCAAAGAUUUAUCGCCCAGGGAUGAGCCCGCGUCGGAUUAGCUAGUUGGUGAGGUAAGAGCUCACCAAGGCGACGAUCCGUAGCUGGUCUGAGAGGAUGAUCAGCCACACUGGGACUGAGACACGGCCCAGACUCCUACGGGAGGCAGCAGUGGGGAAUAUUGGACAAUGGGCGAAAGCCUGAUCCAGCAAUGCCGCGUGAGUGAUGAAGGCCUUAGGGUUGUAAAGCUCUUUUACCCGGGAUGAUAAUGACAGUACCGGGAGAAUAAGCCCCGGCUAACUCCGUG
rnacentral:rRNA from 1 species